rnacentral:rRNA from 1 species
AUACGGAGGAUGCGAGCGUUAUCCGGAUUUAUUGGGUUUAAAGGGUGCGUAGGCUGUGCGUUAAGUCAGGGGUGAAAUGCCGUCGCUCAACGACGGAGCUGCCCUUGAUACUGGCGUGCUGGAGUACGGAUGCCGGUGGAGGAAUGAGUGGUGUAGCGGCGAAAUGCUUAGAUAUCACUCAGAACACCGAUUGCGAAGGCAUCUGACGAAUCCGUCACUGACGCUGAGGCACGAAAGCGUGGGGAUAGAACAGGAUUAGAUACCCUGGUAUUCCACGCCGUAAACGAUGAUGACUAACCGUCGGCGAUAGACAGCCGGUGGCCAAGCGAAAGCGAUAAGUCAUCCACCUGGGGAGUACGUCGGCAACGAUGAAACUUAAAGGAAUUGACGGGG